GCCUGACUGGCUCAGUUGGUAGACCAUAAGACUAUGGAUCUCGAGAUUGUGGGUUGGAGCCCCACAUUGGGCA
rnacentral:tRNA from 1 species